ensembl:lncRNA
GUUUGUUUGACUAAGGCCAACGGCCUGAUUAACCCAGUAGGAUCAGGCGUUUCUGCUGGUGUGGAGCGAAAAACGCUGCGUCCACACCGAGACUUCCAGGAGAAGACUGGACACCCCUGGUUUAAUGACUGGACACACCUGAUGUUGCUGGACUGACUUCUGUUCCUGCUGGACAAGGCACUGAGAGGAUGCCAGAGAGAGGGAGACUCGUUCGCUGUGCUGUUCAGGAAGCUGGUGGCUUCAGUCGGUUUUACACCAGCCGCUAUGGCCUUAAAGCCACAGUAAUAGCCUGCUGGAUCACACUUAUGG